GGUUGUCCCCAUUUGAUCUUAUGCAGGAAGAUCGAUAUCAGGCACCACACUGAGUGUCUUAUUGAAUCAGAGAUUGGUAUCCUGUGUGGGGCUUGGCUUGAUCUGGUGUCAGGCUCAGGAGCUGCUGUUCCAAGCCCGUGGUUGUUGCAAAAAGUUCUUAAAUCAAGGAUAACAAAAGGAGCUCAUGAUUGCCUCUAACAAGCAGACCAGCAAGAAACCAAUCAGCUCUUUCUUAGAGAAAUGUCACUUGAGUGUACUCACCUAUAAUAUCAGGAAGAAAUCUGUGGAAAUGUCACUUGCAGAAAUUGCCACUUAGUAAGUG
rnacentral:lncRNA from 1 species